UUUUUUUUUUUUUGGUUUUGACAAUGUUUAACUUUCUCUUUUUUUUCCAUGAAGAAAGCAGUAUUUUGAGCAAUCAUAAUAAAUCUAAUGCCUUCUGCUUUCUUCACUCAGUUUUGUUAUAGGCCUGAAUAAGAUAAUUUCAAUAGACAGCUUUAGAAAUGGCUUCCCAUGAUGGCACUUGACAAAAACGGAGUCCAUAUUUCAUCCAACAGUCAGCAAGGAACACAGACCCUCAGUCCAAUAACCCCAAGAAAUUGAGUCCUAUUAACAGCCACAUAAAUAAGUUUGGAAGCAGAUCACCCCUAAUUUCACCCCUAAUUGAGGUCGACAAUGACUGCAGUUCUAGGUGACAACCAAGAUUAUAGACACCCUGAGACUGAGACACAGGUACUUGUGUCUCAGAUUAUAGACUGACCCUGGACUUUUAACUCAUAAAAAUUGUGAGACAUUUAUUGCUUUAAGUGGCUAGAUUUUAGGAUAAUUAUUACACUUCAAUAGAUAGCAAAUGCAAUAGUAGACAUGGAGAAUGCAAAGGAAUAUCUCUAUAUGCAAGAAUAUAAUGAUAAUAUAUGGACUAACCAGUAAUGGAUAUACUUGCUUUCUCCAGAAGACACAAAAAGAGAACAUGUUUUAAAAACCUAUUGUAAUGCUAUCAUUGCCAUUUCUAGAAAAUCUAGUAUUCACAAUUAUUUUGAAGACUAGAAAAAAUCCUAUAGAUUUUAUAUUCCAAAGUUCAAAAUGGUGUGAUGCUUUGGUAAAGUCACGGGUCACAUAUUUUCCCUACUUGUCUUUGGCCUUCAGUUCCCUUAGCUUCAAUACAAGUUUUCAUCUUAUUAAAAAAACAAACAAACAAACAAACAAACAAAAACAUGUAUAAUCUCUUUUUUGCAAAUUCAUUUGCUUUUAGCAGGCAUCUGUGGGAAAUUAUGGUGAUAUGUGAAGACAUGGUGGUAACUACCAGAGAUAAAAUUCAAAUUCCUGUAGAUAACUUUUUUUUAAUCCAGCAUUCCUGUACAUGAUCUACACACAUCUUUAAUGAUCUUCAAGGAUUCUAAAAUUAUGGACUCCACCAAAUGUGUACCACACUUCAUGGACUAUGGCUCUAGAUCAUUAAAGACUAAGCGCCUCACAAAGAAUAAUGUCUACAGCACAAUUGUCUUUCUCAGUUACUACCACAAUCAACUGCCUUAGAUUCUGAAAGAUGUUGCUUAUAAACAUUUAACCUUCUCAUCAAUGAUUAAUUGGAGAACAUGUCUACUAGGUACUACCAUUUUAAUUCCCUGUAGUGAGUUCUAACACAGUAGCUUUUUAUCAGUCCCAUAAUUCUGGCUAAGGUCAGAGUUUGUAUUUCAAUUUGCAUGAACAUUUAAUAAUUCACAUAUUUUAACCAAUUUAUAAUGACUCAAAUAUUAAAAUAUAAGCAAUUCAAGUAAGAGAUCAAGAAUCAUUUACUGUUUAUUUCAUAGAGUGGUACCAAAUUUAGCCUGUUGGCAAUGCUUGACUUCCAAUAUACUUCAGGUAUUCAAUAGCACUGUCAUUUCAAUAUUAGCUUUUUAAAAUAAGCUCUAAAAGUUAAAAUUCAGAUAUUUUUAUUUCUUUGAAUAUUCCUGUAUGCUAUUCAUAUAAGUAAAUUCAAGGGUGUUUUGCUUAUCAUCAUUUCAAAAUGCUGUUCACUCUUUACAAAUACUUCCUCCUGAAAGUAAAAAACAUAAGAUCAAGAUAAAAAUUAUCAUUGGAAACCAUUUUAUUUAAAAUAUAACAUCUGAUGUCAAGGGCAAAAUAGUUUAAUAUAAUAUUUCUUAGUAUACCCAUUGUAUUGAAUAUAACUAGUAUACAGUAUAUAAAUACAUUAAAAAUAAAAGAAAUGGUAAAUUAAAAAUUUGUAGCUCCAGAUUUACAUUUUAUGUUACUCUAUUGGAUAACUAGGAUCUAUCAGUAAAAUAAAUAUAUUCUGAACCGUUAAUCAAGUUAUCAUGAAAAUAUGCCAUCAAGGAGCCAAGGGCCAAGUAAAAUUUUAUAAUAAAAAGGAUAUUUAGAAGCAACUUUGACUAUGUGACAUUUAUUAUCAGUUUAUGAAAAGUGAAUGAAAUAGGGCAUACUUGGUUCAAGUUAGGGUUUUGCAUAAGACGAAAUGUAAGGCAAUGUAAAGAAAAGGAUGUAGAAGUCUUAAAUAGAGUCUUGAGAAAUAAUUUAAAGUUUUAUUAUAUGGUCUCUAGAUUAUAAGAAGGGAGAAUAAACAUAGAAAAUCAUUAAUUGAGAAUAAAUAGGGGCAGCAUGGGAGGGUAAUGAAUUCAUUACGGUAAGUAAAUAUGGGAAUUACUGAGAGCUAGAAGGGCUGUAGUUAGAGAUCUUGAUGUUUAAUUAAUUCAGAGAUAAAGCUGUUCAAGAUUAUGUUAGGCUGCAGGAUGUAGUUAUGGGAUGAGAUUAAUAGAGUGGAGAUGAAAAUCACUGGGUUAGAGGAAUCAGGGGCCAAGUAUGUGAUCCCUUCUGUUGGAAAUCCACGCAUUUACUGAAGCUUCUCAGAUUACAAUGUCAACAAAGGUGGAGAACAUAGACUGGUACCAGAAGAAUGUGAAGAUAUAUGAGCUCCAAUUGGACUAUUUUUCUAAAGACAAACAUGUCACGUUUAGGAAAGAAAUAAUUUUGAGAAAGAAAAAUCAUGUUGCACUACCAUCCUUGACACUUCUCACAGGAAAUAGCACAAUAAGAAAUCUUCAACACUGCAAAGAACAUAAUUAUAUAGGAGGGAGAGUUAGACCAAGGUAUAAGAAGCAAGAAGAAAAUAUUCUAGAAUGAGGUGAAAUGUAAGGGACAAUGAGUUUAUAGGACACAGGGGAAGGAGCAGCGACAGGAGAGAAGCCACUCUGCGGACUCUGGGAUAGAAACAUAGCCAUAAUGGGUGGAAGUGCAUGCAAAGACAGGCACCCAGUGGAAUUUGAGUUUGGUUGAAUGUGAUGGAUGAGUAGAUAGAACAGUAUGGUGGAAAUAACUGGAUGUUGUCUUUAAGUGGAAAUACUUAGGUGUGAAAAUACUUCCAAGCUGAAACAAUUAAAGACAAUGACUGGUUUCAGAUUUAGAUAAUAUUCUCUGUUUCCAAUAUAGUUAUUAGCUUAUAGUCAUGUAGUUUGUAGUCAUU
rnacentral:lncRNA from 1 species